GACGAACGCUGGCGGCGUGCUUAACACAUGCCAGUCGAACGGAAAGGCCCUGCUUUUGUGGGGUGCUCGAGUGGCGAACGGGUGAGUAACACGUGAGUAACCUGCCCUUGACUUUGGGAUAACUUCAGGAAACUGGGGCUAAUACCGGAUAGGAGCUCCUGCUGCAUGGUGGGGGUUGGAAAGUUUCGGCGGUUGGGGAUGGUCUCGCUGGUUAUCCGCUUGUUAGUGGGGUAGUGGCUUACCAAGGCUUUGACGGGUAGCCGGCCUGAGAGGGUGACCGGCCACAUUGGGACUGCGAUACGGCGCAGACGCGUACGGGAGGCAGCAGUGGGGAAUAUUGCACAGUGGGCGGAAGCCAGAUGCAGCAACGCCGCGUGCGGGAUGACGGCCUUCGGGUUGUAAACCGCUUUCGCAUGUGACGAAGCGUGAGUGACGGUAAUGGGUAAGGAAGCACCGGCUAACUACGUG
rnacentral:rRNA from 1 species